rnacentral:tmRNA from 1 species
GGGGGCGUAAGGGUUUCGACGGGGAUUUUGAGGUAUGAUAAGCGGGUAGAGGUGGGAUUACUCUUUAAACAAUCUCAUUUAAAUAUAAACGCUAACAAUAAAGUAGCUCUGGCUGCAUAAACAGCCCCGGCUUAUACAGCCGGAGUUGUUGCAGCUGAUGCGGCAUUUUGCCGCCCGUCCUUCCGGAGAGUACCACGGCUCCGGUUUUGGGCGUCACUGAGUGGUGCACGUGCACAGCCCGUUUGCUUUUGAAGCUGUCAUGAAGAAAAAAGCUACUCUGAUGUGCAGCAUGUCUGUUUGCGGCAUAUCGGGGGAAUGCAAAUAACAGACUGCACCCGGAGAAAGUCAUAUCAAGAGAUUUUCGGACAGGGGUUCAACUCCCCUCGCCUCCACCA